UGCCAGCAGCCGCGGUAAUACGGAGGGUGCGAGCGUUAAUCGGAAUUACUGGGCGUAAAGCGCAUGCAGGCGGUCUGUUAAGCAAGAUGUGAAAGCCCGGGGCUCAACCUCGGAACAGCAUUUUGAACUGGCAGACUAGAGUCUUGUAGAGGGGGGUAGAAUUUCAGGUGUAGCGGUGAAAUGCGUAGAGAUCUGAAGGAAUACCGGUGGCGAAGGCGGCCCCCUUGACAAAGACUGACGCAAAGAUGCGAAAGAGUGGGGAGCAAACAGGCUUAUAUA
rnacentral:rRNA from 1 species